CCUACGGGAGGCAGCAGUGGGGAAUAUUGCACAAUGGGGGAAACCCUGAUGCAGCAACGCCGCGUGAGUGAAGAAGUAUUUCGGUAUGUAAAGCUCUAUCAGCAGGGAAGAAAAUGACAGUACCUGACUAAGAAGCCCCGGCUAACUACGUGCCAGCAGCCGCGGUAAUACGUAGGGGGCAAGCGUUAUCCGGAUUUACUGGGUGUAAGGGGAGCGUAGACGGCUGCGCAAGUCAGAAGUGAAAGCCCGGGGCUCAACCGCGGGACUGCUUUUGAAACUGUGUAGCUAGAGUGCAGGAGAGGUAAGUGGAAUUCCUAGUGUAGCGGUGAAAUGCGUAGAUAUUAGGAGGAACACCGGUGGCGAAGGCGGCUUACUGGACUGUAACUGACGUUGAGGCUCGAAAGCGUGGGGAGCAAACAGGAUUAGAUACCCCAGUAGUC
rnacentral:rRNA from 1 species